GACGAACGCUGGCGGCGUGCUUAACACAUGCAAGUCGAACGGAAAGGCCCUGCUUUUGUGGGGUGCUCGAGUGGCGAACGGGUGAGUAACACGUGAGUAACCUGCCCUUGACUUUGGGAUAACUUCAGGAAACUGGGGCUAAUACCGGAUAGGAGCUCCUGCUGCAUGGUGGGGGUUGGAAAGUUUCGGCGGUUGGGGAUGGACUCGCGGCUUAUCAGCUUGUUGGUGGGGUAGUGGCUUACCAAGGCUUUGACGGGUAGCCGGCCUGAGAGGGUGACCGGCCACAUAGUGACUGAGAUACGGCCCAGACUCCUACGGGAGGCAGCAAGAGGGAAUAUUGCACAGUGAGCGGAAGCCUGAUACAGCAACGCCGCGUGCGGGAUGACUGCCUUCGAGUUGUAAACCGCUUUCGCCUGUGACGAAGCGUGAGUGACGGUAAUGAAUAAAGAAGCACCGGCUAACUACGUG
rnacentral:rRNA from 1 species